AUAUUUUUUCUCUGCUCAGAUUGACGCUGCGCAGGCUACACAUGCAAGUCGAGCGUAGCACAGAGAGCUGCUCUCGGUGACGAGCGCGGACGGUGAGUAAUGUCUGGAAACUGCCUGAUGGAGGGGGAUAACUACUGGAAACGGUAGCUAAUACCGCAUAAUGUCGCAAGACCAAAGUGGGGGACCUUCGGGCCUCAUGCCAUCAGAUGUGCCCAGAUGGGAUUAGCUAGUAGGUGGGGUAACGGCUCACCUAGGCGACGAUCCCUAGCUGGUCUGAGAGGAUGACCAGCCACACUGGAACUGAGACACGGUCCAGACUCCUACGGGAGGCAGCAGUGGGGAAUAUUGCACAAUGGGCGCAAGCCUGAUGCAGCCAUGCCGCGUGUGUGAAGAAGGCCUUCGGGUUGUAAAGCACUUUCAGCGGGGAGGAAGGCGGUGAGGUUAAUAACCUCGUCGAUUGACGUUACCCGCAGAAGAAGCACCGGCUAACUCCGUGCCAGCAGCCGCGGUAAUACGGAGGGUGCAAGCGUUAAUCGGAAUUACUGGGCGUAAAGCGCACGCAGGCGGUCUGUCAAGUCGGAUGUGAAAUCCCCGGGCUCAACCUGGGAACUGCAUUCGAAACUGGCAGGCUAGAGUCUUGUAGAGGGGGGUAGAAUUCCAGGUGUAGCGGUGAAAUGCGUAGAGAUCUGGAGGAAUACCGGUGGCGAAGGCGGCCCCCUGGACAAAGACUGACGCUCAGGUGCGAAAGCGUGGGGAGCAAACAA
rnacentral:rRNA from 1 species